rnacentral:rRNA from 1 species
AGUGGCGAACGGGUGAGUAACACGUGAGCAAUCUGCCCUUGACUCUGGGAUAACUGCGGGAAACUGUAGCUAAUACCGGAUAUUACCUUGGAAGGCAUCUUCUGGGGUGGAAAGAAUUUUGGUCAAGGAUGAGCUCGCGGCCUAUCAGCUAGUUGGUGAGGUAAUGGCUCACCAAGGCGACGACGGGUAGCCGGCCUGAGAGGGUGACCGGCCACACUGGGACUGAGACACGGCCCAGACUCCUACGGGAGGCAGCAGUGGGGAAUAUUGCACAAUGGGCGCAAGCCUGAUGCAGCAACGCCGCGUGAGGGACGACGGCCUUCGGGUUGUAAACCUCUUUUAGUAGGGAAGAAGCGACUGGGUUUUCCUGGGAGUGACGGUACCUGCAGAAAAAGCACCGGCUAACUACGUGCCAGCAGCCGCGGUAAUACGUAGGGUGCAAGCGUUGUCCGGAAUUAUUGGGCGUAAAGAGCUCGUAGGCGGUUUGUCGCGUCUGCUGUGAAAACCCGAGGCUCAACCUCGGGCCUGCAGUGGGUACGGGCAGACUAGAGUGCGGUAGGGGAGAUUGGAAUUCCUGGUGUAGCGGUGGAAUGCGCAGAUAUCAGGAGGAACACCAAUGGCGAAGGCAGAUCUCUGGGCCGUAACUGACGCUGAGGAGCGAAAGCAUGGGGAGCGAACAGGAUUAGAUACCCUGGUAGUCCAUGCCGUAAACGUUGGGAACUAGAUGUGGGGACCAUUCCACGGUCUCCGUGUCGCAGCUAACGCAUUAAGUUCCCCGCCUGGGGAGUACGGCCGCAAGGCUAAAACUCAAAGGAAUUGACGGGGGCCCGCACAAGCGGCGGAGCAUGCGGAUUAAUUCGAUGCAACGCGAAGAACCUUACCAAGGCUUGACAUAUACCGGUAACGCCUGGAAACAGGUGCCCCGCAAGGUCGGUAUACAGGUGGUGCAUGGUUGUCGUCAGCUCGUGUCGUGAGAUGUUGGGUUAAGUCCCGCAACGAGCGCAACCCUCGUCCUAUGUUGCCAGCACGUAAUGGUGGGAACUCAUGGGAUACUGCCGGGGUCAACUCGGAGGAAGGUGGGGAUGACGUCAAAUCAUCAUGCCCCUUAUGUCUUGGGCUUCACGCAUGCUACAAUGGCCGGUACAAAGGGCUGCGAUACCGCAAGGUGGAGCGAAUCCCAAAAAGCCGGUCUCAGUUCGGAUUGAGGUCUGCAACUCGACCUCAUGAAGUCGGAGUCGCUAGUAAUCGCAGAUCAGCAACGCUGCGGUGAAUACGUUCCCGGGCCUUGUACACACCGCCCGUCAAGUCAUGAAAGUCGGUAACACCCGAAGC